GACGAACGCUGGCGGCGUGCUUAACACAUGCAAGUCGAACGAUGAAGCCCAGCUUGCUGGGUGGAUUAGUGGCGAACGGGUGAGUAACACGUGAGUAACCUGCCCUGGACUCUGGGAUAACCCCGAGAAAUCGGAGCUAAUACCGGAUAGUACCUUCUCCCGCAUGGGGGUUGGUGGAAAGUUUUUCGGUUUGGGAUGGACUCGCGGCCUAUCAGCUUGUUGGUGAGGUCACGGCUCACCAAGGCGUCGACGGGUAGCCGGCCUGAGAGGGUGACCGGCCACACUGGGACUGAGACACGGCCCAGACUCCUACGGGAGGCAGCAGUGGGGAAUAUUGCACAAUGGGCGCAAGCCUGAUGCAGCAACGCCGCGUGCGGGAUGACGGCCUUCGGGUUGUAAACCGCUUUUAGUAGGGAAGAAGGGCUUCGGCUUGACGGUACCUGCAGAAAAAGGACCGGCUAACUACGUGCCAGCCGCCGCGGUAAGAC
rnacentral:rRNA from 1 species